rnacentral:rRNA from 1 species
GACGAACGCUGGCGGCGUGCUUAACACAUGCAAGUCGAACGGAAAGGCCCUGCUUGCUGGGUACUCGAGUGGCGAACGGGUGAGUAACACGUGGGUGAUCUGCCCUGCACUUCGGGAUAAGCCUGGGAAACUGGGUCUAAUACCGGAUAGGAGCCAUUUUUAGUGUGAUGGUUGGAAAGUUUUUUCGGUGUAGGAUGAGCUCGCGGCCUAUCAGCUUGUUGGUGGGGUAAUGGCCUACCAAGGCGGCGACGGGUAGCCGGCCUGAGAGGGUGGACGGCCACAUUGGGACUGAGAUACGGCCCAGACUCCUACGGGAGGCAGCAGUGGGGAAUAUUGCACAAUGGGCGCAAGCCUGAUGCAGCGACGCCGCGUGGGGGAUGACGGCCUUCGGGUUGUAAACUCCUUUCGCUAGGGACGAAGCUUUUGUGACGGUACCUAGAUAAGAAGCACCGGCUAACUACGUG